GACGAACGCUGGCGGCGUGCUUAACACAUGCAAGUCGAACGGUGACCCAGGGCUUGCCCUGGUGAUCAGUGGCGAACGGGUGAGUAACACGUGGGCAACCUGCCCCUGACUUCGGGAUAACUCCUCGAAAGAGGAGCUAAUACCGGAUACGACCACUUCGGACAUCCGAUGGUGGUGGAAAGUUUUCGGUCAGGGAUGGGCCCGCGGCCUAUCAGCUAGUUGGUGGGGUAAUGGCCUACCAAGGCGACGACGGGUAGCCGGCCUGAGAGGGCGACCGGCCACACUGGGACUGAGACACGGCCCAGACUCCUACGGGAGGCAGCAGUGGGGAAUAUUGCGCAAUGGGCGAAAGCCUGACGCAGCGACGCCGCGUGAGGGAUGAAGG
rnacentral:rRNA from 1 species